AGAUGUCGCUCGCGGCUUCGCCAUCGUGAAACCCUAUAAAACACCAUUCGUGUAAAAAAUUACACUUAAAUUCCAUUUUUUUCCAUGAGACAAUUAUCAGGAUAAGAAGUAAUGUGUGUUAUUCCCCGACACGGUGUAUUUGUAUGCCAAUGCCAAUACAACCACCCGUUCACGAGUAUGACGCAUGCGCCAGCCAUCGGCCUCCUCAACCAUGUUACAGAUACCCGUGUGUGUGUGUGUAUAUAUUGAAAUAAAAGUAAUAAAAAACGAGAUCACUAAAGAUUAAAUGAAACGCCCUCGACAUUAAUUAUGGUAAUGGAAUUCCAGCUCACAGUUUUGCGUGAUGAUAAGAUUUUCGUACACCAUCACAUUUAUAAUUAAGAUAAAGUCUCUUUACAGAGUGCAAUACCAACGCAAUGCCGUCGGCGAUAAGCAUGGACAGAUCUGAAGAAACAACAGAUGAAAGCGGUAAAUCUAAAAAUAAAAUUAAAUGGAAAUCUUUGGAACACAAAGGGCCAGAUUCUCACCGCCAUACGAAAGACUACCUGAAGGCAUUAAUUUCAAGUAUGACGGAAAAGUGGUAAAAUUAUCAGAAGAUGCUGAAGAAGUAGGGAUUCUAUGCAAUGUUAGAUAGAGAUAUUGUGAAAAAAACUUUCCAAACAAACUUCUUCAACGAUUGGCGUGAUGUGAUGACACCAGAAGAACGAAAGUUAAUUAAGGAUCUUACUAAAUGUGACUUUACAGAGCUUGAAAA